AGACCGUGAUGUGGAGAAAGCCCUAUUAUGUCCUUGUAUCUCUCCCAAGCUUCAAAAAGUGAUUCAUCAUCUUUUUGUUUAAACUCGUUUAUUUAGGCUCUUGGCAU